rnacentral:lncRNA from 1 species
AGGACAUCUCGCACUUGCUCACCGGCGUCUUCCGCAACUUGUACUCUGCCGAGGUGAUCGGCGAGGAAGCGAGCGCCAGCUUCAUCAAGGCCCGCGGCAGCGAUAAUGCGCGCCACGAGCAGUUCGUGGACCAGUUGCAGCAGAUUCGGGAGCUCUAUAAGCAGCGACUGGAUGAGGUCAAAAUGUUGGAGAGACAUAUCAUUCAGGCCCAAGCACGGGCCCUGGCUGAAACAGAGCGGGCCAUGAACCAGGCCAAAGUGCAUGUCCUCGAGGCCGUCCAGUUGCCCCCAGUUAAGACUGUCUUCAGGUGGUGUGUAGACAGCGAGUUGUUGCGGAAACACCAUUUGAUCAGCCCAGAAGAUUACUACAGUGACACCGUGCCAUUUUGCUCGGCACCUAAAGGCAGUUCUAUCCCUGGAUAUUCAAAACUGACAUUCAGUAGUCAGAAGCGUUUCAGCCCCAAAGGAGCAUUGGGCAAGAAGCUUGCAGUGCCCUACAAGGAGAAGCUUGGAGACGAGUUCGACUACACUGUGGACAGCCAGGAAUGGGAUUCAAUUCCUAAGGCCAAACAAACGACCAAAAAAACCAUCAAGAAACCAAGUCUACCGAAGAAUAAAAACUGGAUGAAACACUUACGCAUGCCCCAGAGAGAACUGGAGCGACUACUUCUUGCCAGAAUGGAGAAUCGAAACCACUUCCUGAGAAACCCUCGGUUUUUCCCUCCUAACACUCCACAUGGAGGCAAAUCUCUUAUUUUUCCUCCAAUUAAGCCAGAACUGAUGGGAGAACACCCGAGUGCAGAGCUGGAACAAAGCUGCAUGGAUGCUCCAGUGUUUCUUGCUAAACCAUCAAUUGGGUUUUUCACAGAUUAUGAAAUUGGACCAGUUUAUGAGAUGGUCAUCUCGCUGCAGAACACCACCUCUGCCAGCCGCUACCUGCGAGUCCUUCCGCCUUCUACCCCACACUUUGCUCUGGGAUUGGGUGAGUUUAGCAUAGUUGCUUUCUAGAUGGCUACAAAAUUACCUGCUGGGCUGGCUGCCGGGACUGAGCCACCGGGUCCUGCUGACUCCCUGUGCUGGGCUCAGGGCUUCUCCCUCAGCAGUCACUGGAGGCCCUUGUGCUCAGCUCAGAGCCUCCCAGUGACGCCCCAGCGCCUCUCUCCUGAUCAUCUCCCUAAGGCACUGGUUCUGCCAUCUCCCGUGCUUCACGCUGUCACUGCCCUUGGUCAGGCCCUCCUCCUGGCUCAUGUCCGCGCAGCCACCUCCCAGAUUGGAUGGGAGUAUUGGUUUCAAUAACAACCCCAAUCAUGUCACUCUUUCUCGGAAAUCUCAAAGGACUCCCUACUGCCC